GCAGUGCAAGGGUAUAAAAACCUGCUGGCAACACCAAAGUCGGCCAUUUCACAAUAUAAUUUUCUUUCAACAAGAUGCGAAGUGCGCAGAUACGGGAAUUAUAAAAGUGAUUUAUUUUGAUAUUUAAAAAGAAAAAACCCAAAUAAACACUCGAAAUAAGUCGAGUAAGUGUGACAAGUGAAGAAGAAACUAAACAAACUAACCCCUUUGAAAAAAAAGAAAAAAAUAGUCAAAUAGUGCGAUUUCACCAGCGAUUCUAGGAUAGAAUUGCACUCAGGAGAACGUAGUUAUUAACGUUACAUAUAACUACUGCUUCAGUUUCAGCCUUGGAGAGAUAUAUAGAUUCCGAGGAAACGUCGUAUCAUAUCUGGCGUGCCGCCGCAGCUACUACAUUUAGUACAAGGAAAAGGUGAAAGCAAUCAACCACCAUUGCAACCGUAGCACCGCAGCAACACCAAAAGAAUCAGUUGGACCAUUGACUAAGCAAUUGGGAGUCCCAGCAGCAACCCACAUCCCGUUGACAGCAACCGCAGGGCGGCAAAAACAGCGCAACAGUCCCGGAACUGUUAACACUGGAAUAGGCAGUCUGCGGACCGUCCCGUACGGUAUCCACGACGCGCCACAACAGCACUACUGUAACCAUACGGCGUAACCUCAAGCGCCACUUCGGGAGAAGAGCGCCACAGUACCAGUGUGUGCGUACCAGCGGUGCGCUUUAAUGCCCAUCGGGCGCCCUAACACCAUCUAGCGCCACCUCGUCAGCGAGGCGCCUCAACGUCAUCAAGUGCCACCACGUUAGCGGUGCGCCUCAGGAUCGUCAGGCGUCUCAACGUACCCUGGCAAUUAGCAAGACGACCUCAAUAACAACACCAAAGCUGCCCAAACCAGCAACCACACCGUAACAACACAAAGCAGCAACCACACCGUAACAACAACAAGCAGCAACCACACCGUAACAACAACAAGCAGCAACCACACCGUAACAACAACAGCAGGCCCCACCAAGAACUGCUGCAACAAGGGGUGAGUCCUUCGGGCCUAUAUAUAUAUAUAUAUAUACACUUACAUUUAUAUAUGCAGGCUAGAUAAGAAAGAAAAAAAAAAUAUUAAAUGGACUUAGAA